CGGGGUGAGUAACACGUGAGCAACCCUGCCUUUAAGAGUGGGAUAACAGUCGGAAACGACCGCUAAUACCGCAUAAUAUACUUGUAUCGCAUGGUAUGGGUAUCAAAGAUUUAUCGCUUAAAGAUGGGCUCGCGUCUGAUUAGCUGGUUGGUGAGGUAACGGCUCACCAAGGCGACGAUCAGUAGCCGUACUGAGAGGUAGAACGGCCACAUUGGGACUGAGACACGGCCCAGACUCCUACGGGAGGCAGCAG
rnacentral:rRNA from 1 species